AGAGUUUGAUCCUGGCUCAGAUUGAAUGCUAGCGGCGUGGAUGAGGCAUGCAAGUCGUACGAAAUUUGGAGCAAUCCAAGUUUAGUGGCGGAAGGGUUAGUAAUACAUGGGUAACUUGCCCUCAACUUAGGGAUAACGGUUGGAAACGACCGCUAAUACCAAAUGCGGAGAGCUCGGGCAUCCGAGUUUCUUCAAAGCGGGGGAUCGUAAGACCUCGCAGUUGUGGAGAGGCCCAUGCGAUAUCAGCUUGUUGGUGUGGUAAUGGCGCACCAAGGCUAAGACGUCUAGGCGGGUUGAGAGAUUGACCGCCAACACUGGGACUGAGAACUGCCCAGACUCCUACGGGAGGCUGCAGUCGAGAAUCAUUCGCAAUGGGCGCAAGCCUGACGACGCGACGCCGCGUGAGCGAUGAAGGCCUUCGGGUUGUAAAGCUCUUUCGCUUGGGAACAAGAAAGGUUAGCUAACAUCUAGCCAAUUUGAGAGUACUAGGUAAAGAAGCACCGGCUAACUCCGUGCCAGCAGCUGCGGUAAUACGGAGGGUGCGAGCAUUAAUCGGAUUUAUUGGGCGUAAAGGGCGCGUAGGCGGCGUGAUAAGUCAGAUGUGAAAUCCCGGGGCUCAACCUCGGAACGGCAUUUGAAACUAUCACACUAGAGGGUAGGCGGAGAAAACGGAAUUCCACAAGUAGCGGUGAAAUGCGUAGAUAUGUGGAAGAACACCGGUGGCGAAGGCGGUUUUCUAGCUUAUUCCUGACGCUGAGGCGCGAAAGCAAGGGGAUCAAACAGGAUUAGAUACCCUGGUAGUCCUUGCCGUAAACGAUGUAUACUUGGUGUAGCCAGACUCAACCCUGGCUGUGCCGUAGCUAACGUGUUAAGUAUACCGCCUGGGGAGUACGCUCGCAAGAGUGAAACUCAAAGGAAUUGACGG
rnacentral:rRNA from 1 species